rnacentral:rRNA from 1 species
AGCCUGCAGUGGGUACGGGCAGACUAGAGUGCGGUAGGGGAGAACGGAAUUCCUGGUGUAGCGGUGGAAUGCGCAGAUAUCAGGAGGAACACCGAUGGCGAAGGCAGUUCUCUGGGCCGUUACUGACGCUGAGGAGCGAAAGCGUGGGGAGCGAACAGGAUUAGAUACCCUGGUAGUCCACGCCGUAAACGGUGGGUGCUAGCUGUGGGCCACAUUCCACGUGGUCCGUGACGAAGUUAACACAUUAAGCACCCCGCCUGGGGAGUACGGCCGCAAGGCUAAAACUCAAAGGAAUUGACGGGGGCCCGCACAAGCGGCGGAGCAUGCGGAUUAAUUCGAUGCAACGCGAAGAACCUUACCAAGGCUUGACAUAUAGAGGAAAAGUGCAGAAAU